GGUUGCGAUCAUACCAACACUAAUGCACCAGAUCCCAUCAGAACUCCGGAGUUAAGCAUGCUUGAGCGAGAGUAUUACUAGGAUUAGGCGAGAGUAGUACUAGGAUGGGUGACCCCCUGGGAAGUCCUCGUGUUGCAACCC
rnacentral:rRNA from 1 species